GGCUGUUGUGUAGAUGCUAUCUGUGUGUCUUCCUCAUUUUCAUCUUCGAAAUAAUUGUCUGGAUCUUGAAACACCUCUACAUCUAUAGUACUGAUACUGACUUCCUCUGGUAACCCUUCGUGCAUUGAGCUUUCAACAUCAUCCCUUCCUCUUUUUUUAGAGGACUUUGAGUGCUUACCAUAGCUGUAAUUGAUGCCAUC
rnacentral:lncRNA from 1 species